rnacentral:rRNA from 1 species
CUUGGAGACUCCUACGGGAGGCAGCAGUGGGGAAUUUUGGACAAUGGGCGCAAGCCUGAUCCAGCCAUGCCGCGUGUCUGAAGAAGGCCUUCGGGUUGUAAAGGACUUUUGUCAGGGAAGAAAAGGCUGUUGCUAAUAUCGACAGCUGAUGACGGUACCUGAAGAAUAAGCACCGGCUAACUACGUGCCAGCAGCCCCGGUAAUACGUAGGGUGCGAGCGUUAAUCGGAAUUACUGGGCGUAACGCGAGCGCAGACGGUGAAUUAAGCAGGAUGUGAAAUCCCCGGGCUCAACCUGGGAAUUGCGUUCUGAACUGGGUGACUAGAGUGUGUCAGAGGGAGGUAGAAUUCCACGUGUAGCAGUGAAAUGCGUAGAGAUGUGGAGGAAUACCGAUGGCGAAGGCAGCCUCCUGGGAUAACACUGACGUUCAUGCUCGAAAGCGUGGGUAGCAAACAGGAUUAGAAACCCCGGUAGUCCUAUC